rnacentral:rRNA from 1 species
UACGUAGGGUGCAAGCGUUGUCCGGAAUUAUUGGGCGUAAAGAGCUCGUAGGCGGUUUGUCGCGUCUGCUGUGAAAAUCCAGGGCUUAACCCUGGACCUGCAGUGGGUACGGGCAGACUGGAGUGCGGUAGGGGAGAUCGGAAUUCCUGGUGUAGCGGUGAAAUGCGCAGAUAUCAGGAGGAACACCGAUGGCGAAGGCAGGUCUCUGGGCCACUACUGACGCUGAGGAGCGAAAGCGUGGGGAGCGAACAGG